GCACUUUAAGCAGUGAAGAAGACUCCAUGGUUAAUACCCAUGGACGAUGACAUUAGCUGCAGAAUAAGCACCGGCUAACUCUGUGCCAGCAGCCGCGGUAAUACAGAGGGUGCAAGCGUUAAUCGGAAUUACUGGGCGUAAAGGGAGCGUAGGUGGCUCUAUAAGUCAGAUGUGAAAUCCCCGGGCUUAACCUGGGAACUGCAUCUGAAACCGUAGAGCUAGAGUAUGUGAGAGGGAGGUAGAAUUUCAGGUGUAGCGGUGAAAUGCGUAGAGAUCUGAAGGAAUACCGAUGGCGAAGGCAGCCUCCUGGCAUAAUACUGACACUGAGGCUCGAAAGCGUGGGUAGCAAACAGGAUUAGAUACCCUGGUAGUCCACGCCGUAAACGAUGUCUACUAGUCGUUGG
rnacentral:rRNA from 1 species